rnacentral:rRNA from 1 species
UACGUAGGGGGCAAGCGUUGUCCGGAAUUAUUGGGCGUAAAGAGCGUGUAGGCGGUCCGGUAAGUCGGCUGUGAAAGUCCAGGGCUCAACCCUGGGAUGCCGGUCGAUACUGCCGGACUAGAGUUCGGAAGAGGCGAGUGGAAUUCCCGGUGCAGCGGUGAAAUGCGCAGAUAUCGGGAGGAACACCUAUGGCGAAGGCAGCUCGCUGGGACGUUACUGACGCUGAGACGCGAAAGCGUGGGGAGCAAACAGG